CCCAUUGAUCGGAUAUUAAUGUAUCCUUCUCUUCGGAGCAAUGGAGACAGGUGGUGCGAUGGUUGUCGUCAGCUCGUGUCGUGAGAUGUUGGGUUAAGUCCCGCAACGAGCGCAACCCUUAUUGUUAGUUGCCAUCAGUUAGGCUGGGCACUCUAGCGAGACUGCCGUGGACAACACGGAGGAAGGUGGGGAUGACGUCAAAUCAUCAUGCCCCUUAUGAUCUGGGCUACACACGUGCUACAAUGGUCGGUACAACGGGGCAGCGAAGGAGCGAUCUGGAGCGAAUCCUAAAAGCCGAUCCCAGUUCGGAUUGCAGGCUGCAACUCGCCUGCAUGAAGUCGGAGUUGCUAGUAAUCGCAGAUCAGCAUGCUGCGGUGAAUGCGUUCCCGGGUCUU
rnacentral:rRNA from 1 species